ACGGCUGCUCAGUAACACGUAGUCAACUUACCCUAUGGACGAGGAUAAUCUCGGGAAACUGAGCAUAAUACUCGAUAGAUCAUAAUGCCUGGAAUGGUUUAUGGUUGAAAUGAUUCGUCGCCAUAGGAUGGGACUGCGGCCUAUCAGCUUGUUGGUGAGGUAAUGGCCCACCAAGGCGAUUACAGGUACGGGCUCUGAGAGGAGAAGCCCGGAGAUGGGUACUGAGACAAGGACCCAGGCCCUAUGGGGCGCAGCAGGCGAGAAAACUUUGCAAUGUGCGAAAGCACGACAAGGUUAAUCCGAGUGAUUUCUGCUAAAGAAAUCUUUUGCAAGUCAUAAAACCACUAGUGAAUAAGGGGUGGGCAAGUUCUGGUGUCAGCCGCCGCGGUAAAACCAGCACCUCAAGUGGUCAGGAGGAUUAUUGGGCCUAAAGCAUCCGUAGCCGGCUCUGUAAGUUUUCGGUUAAAUCCAUGUGCUCAACGCAUGGGCUGCCGAAAAUACUGCAUAGCUAGGGAGUGGGAGAGGUAGACGGUACUCGGUAGGAAGGGGUAAAAUCCUUUGAUCUAUCGAUGACCACCUGUGGCGAAGGCGGUCUACCAGAACACGUUCGACGGUGAGGGAUGAAAGCUGGGGGAGCAAACCGGAUUAGAUACCCGGGUAGUCCAGCUGUAAACGAUGCAGACUCGAUGAUGCAUUGGCAUAUAGCCAGUGCAGUGUCGCAGGGAAGCCGUUAAGUCUGCCGCCUGGGAAGUACGUACGCAAGUAUGAAACUUAAAGGAAUUGGCGGGGGAGCAG
rnacentral:rRNA from 1 species